rnacentral:rRNA from 1 species
UACGUAGGGUGCGAGCGUUAAUCGGAAUUACUGGGCGUAAAGCGUGCGUAGGCGGUCCGCGAAGUCUGAUGUGAAAGCCCCGGGCUCAACCUGGGAACUGCAUUGGAAACUAACGGGCUCGAGUGUGGCAGAGGGGGGUGGGAAUUCCACGUGUAGCAGUGAAAUGCGUAGAGAUGUGGAGGAACACCGAUGGCGAAGGCAGCCCCCCUGGGCUAACACUGACGCUCAGGCACGAAAGCGUGGGGAGCAAACAGG